rnacentral:lncRNA from 1 species
GGCCACUGUGGCCUUCUUGCCCUUAGCCUGGGGACAAGAAGGGCAGUGCAAAGAGGAAGACAGAGCCAGGACACAGUGGGCUAAUCAGGACUGCAGAACAGUGCCCAGCAACAGUGCGGGAGCCAGCUCCCAGGAGACUCCAGCGAGCAGCUGCUAUCAAAUCAUCCUCCACUUCCAUUGUCAGACACUGAUUGGGAAUUUCACAAGAGAGAACUAGUUCGCUUGCUAACCUCAAAAACACCUGAAAAGCUCCCCAUAACUGCAGGACCAAAG